GUGAGGAAUAUUGCGCAAUGGAGGCAACUCUGACGCAGCCAUGCCGCGUGCAGGAAGAAGGCGCUACGCGUUGUAAACUGCUUUUAACCGGGAAGAAACCCCAGGACGUGUCCUGGGUUGACGGUACCGGAGGAAUAAGCACCGGCUAACUUCGUGCCAGCAGCCGCGGUAAUACGAAGGGCGCAAGCGUUAUCCGGAUUCAUUGGGUUUAAAGGGUGCGUAGGCGGAGCGUUAAGUCAGUGGUGAAAUCCUGCAGCUUAACUGUAGACUUGCCAUUGAUACUGGCGCUCUUGAGUGCGCUUGAAGUGGGCGGAAUGUGCCGUGUAGCGGUGAAAUGCUUAGAUAUGGCACAGAACACCAAUUGCGAAGGCAGCUCACUAAGGCGAUACUGACGCUGAGGCACGAAAGCGUGGGGAUCGAACAGGAUUAGAAACCCCUGUAGUCC
rnacentral:rRNA from 1 species